AUUGAACGCUGGCGGCAUGCUUUACACAUGCAAGUCGAACGGUAACAGGGUGCUUGCACCGCUGACGAGUGGCGAACGGGUGAGUAAUGCGUCGGAACGUGCCGAGUAGUGGGGGAUAACGCAUCGAAAGGUGUGCUAAUACCGCAUACGUACUGAGGUAGAAAGUGGGGGACCUUCGGGCAUCACGCUAUUCGAGCGGCCGACGUCUGAUUAGCUAGUUGGUGAGUUAAAGGCUCACCAAGGCGACGAUCAGUAGCGGGUCUGAGAGGAUGAUCCGCCACACUGGGACUGAGACACGGCCCAGACUCCUACGGGAGGCAGCAGUGGGGAAUUUUGGACAAUGGGCGCAAGCCUGAUCCAGCCAUGCCGCGUGUCUGAAGAAGGCCUUCGGGUUGUAAAGGACUUUUGUCCGGGAGCAAAUACCCAGUGCUAAUAACGCUGGGGGCUGAGAGUACCGGAAGAAUAAGCACCGGCUAACUACGUGCCAGCCGCCGCAGUAAUAC
rnacentral:rRNA from 1 species